rnacentral:rRNA from 1 species
AGAGUUUGAUCCUGGCUCAGGAUGAACGCUAGCUACAGGCUUAACACAUGCAAGUCGAGGGGCAGCAUUUUAGUUUGCUUGCAAACUAAAGAUGGCGACCGGCGCACGGGUGAGUAACACGUAUCCAACCUGCCGAUAACUCGGGGGAUAGCCUUUCGAAAGAAAGAUUAAUAUCCGAUGGUAUAUUAAAACCGCAUGGUUUUACUAUUAAAGAAUUUCGGUUAUCGAUGGGGAUGCGUUCCAUUAGUUUGUUGGCGGGGUAACGGCCCACCAAGGCAACGAUCAGUAGGGGUUCUGAGAGGAAGGUCCCCCACAUUGGAACUGAGACACGGUCCAAACUCCUACGGGAGGCAGCA